GACGAACCGUGCGAACGUUGUUCGGAAUCACUGGGCUUAAAGGGCGCGUAGGCGGGCCCUCAAGUCAGGGGUGAAAGCCCACGGCCCAACCGUGGAAGUGCCUCUGAUACUGGGGGUCUGGAGGGGGAUAGGGGCGUGCGGAACUUGGGGUGGAGCGGUGAAAUGCGUAGAUAUCCCAAGGAACACCAGUGGCGAAGGCGGCACGCUGGGUCCCUGCUGACGCUGAGGCGCGAAAGCCAGGGGAGCGAACGGG
rnacentral:rRNA from 1 species